rnacentral:rRNA from 1 species
CCUACGGGAGGCAGCAGUGGGGAAUAUUGCACAAUGGGCGCAAGCCUGAUGCAGCCAUGCCGCGUGUGUGAAGAAGGCCUUCGGGUUGUAAAGCACUUUCAGCGGGGAGGAAGGCGGUGAGGUUAAUAACCUCAUCGAUUGACGUUACCCGCAGAAGAAGCACCGGCUAACUCCGUGCCAGCAGCCGCGGUAAUACGGAGGGUGCAAGCGUUAAUCGGAAUUACUGGGCGUAAAGCGCACGCAGGCGGUCUGUCAAGUCGGAUGUGAAAUCCCCGGGCUCAACCUGGGAACUGCAUUCGAAACUGGCAGGCUAGAGUAUUGUAGAGGGGGGUAGAAUUCCAGGUGUAGCGGUGAAAUGCGUAGAGAUCUGGAGGAAUACCGGUGGCGAAGGCGGCCCCCUGGACAAAGACUGACGCUCAGGUGCGAAAGCGUGGGGAGCAAACAGGAUUAGAUACCCUUGUAGUC